UUAUUAAUCAUCUUAAUAAUACUGUUAGUUGGAAUGGUCACACCUUGGAAGCAUACAGAAUGGUAAGAAAGGAAGCCCGGGGCUCGGCUGCAGUCCUGGGGAUCUGAGUCAGGGGGUUGAGCUGCUGCAAGAAAAGGGUCCGGAACAGCAGAGGGGACAGGGGGCUCUGUACAGAGGACAAAGCCAGAGGCAGGGCGUGGGGCUAUGUACAACGGGAAUAGAAAAGGAGAAUUCCAUUUCGAUAGCUUCAGUAGCUGAUGCUGAAUAGAAAGUGAGGUGUAUUUUUAAAUUUUUGACGUUUCAUGAGACAGUGGAGUCACGUCGGGAGCCUGUAUUUUUUGCUGCUUCCCUACUUCAGUGCUCCCUGCCUUGCCAGGAGCUCCUCCCUGCCACCUGCUCUGCUCCUCCCACCAGGUGAGCUUGGCUGCUCCUGCCACCUGGACACCUGCCUUGGGAGCAGUGAAGGGGCCGGCCCAGGCUUCCCCAUCCCUUGCCCUUCCCAUGGGCCUCUGCUCUGGCUGUGCCGGUCCAGGCCCACAGCCACUGAGACUCCCAACCUUGAGGCGCAGCUGGGCACUGGCCCGUCCCUGGCCGCCCACAGUGGACUGGGCUCGCAGGGGAGCGGCAGGGAGGGCUGGGUCCCAGCAGGCAGCACGAGGUCAGCCUUGGUGUGCACAGGCCCCAGGUCACCUCCAGAAAGGGAGAGGUGGCCAGGAAGAGCAAGUCCUUGGCCUCAGGGCCCACUUGGCCACACUCGGAGGUGUGAGGAGUGGCUCCUGGCUGGCUGGACUUCCUUCGUCCUCCCAUGGAGCGCCCCUGAGUCCUGGAGCCAUAUCAGCCCUUCCUGUCAGGAGUUGGUCCCGGGGCUACCGUUGGACGGCUUCCUCACCAGGCUGGGGGCACGGGCGGGACUGCCGGGCAUGAGGGAGGUGGGACGCAGGGGACACGACACGAGGGUGAUGGGGCCCAGUGGAGCCCCUGGGAUGAAAGCUGCCCGCACCCCCCAGCCCCGCCAGCCCCCCGGCACAGCUGGCCACAAAGAUCAAGUCUUGCUAGCAGCACCUCCCUGCUCAGGCCCCGGGCCUGCUCUGCCGCCGCUGGGCUCCACACUGCCUUGGGAGUUGGGGGCUGGGAAAGGAAGACUGGAUGGAAAACAGAGCCCCCCACGGGCCCCGCAAGGGAGGCCCCUUCCCCUCCAACUCCCCCACUGCCUGAGACGGAGGGGCAUGUUCCCACUGCGCUGCCAGCCAGGACGCGGUGGGGCCGUCCAGUCCCGGGGCCGCUCCUCGGCGCCCCUGCCGGCGUGCUCCCUCGGUGCGGGCGUGUGGCCAGGACGCGGGACUUGGACUUGGUUGGAUGCCUCUUGGUUUGAUUGGUUUUUUUUUGUUGUUGUUGCUUGGAUCUUAACAUCUUUUUUUGUUUUUUUUGUUUUGUGAUUUUUUUUGUUUUUUUGUUUUUGC
rnacentral:lncRNA from 1 species